GACGAACGCUGGCGGCGUGCUUAACACGUGCAAGUCGAACGCUGAAGCUCAGCUUUUGUUGGGUGGAUGAGUGGCGAACGGGUGAGUAACACGUGAGUAACCUGCCCCCUUCUUUGGGAUAACGCCCGGAAACGGGUGCUAAUACUGGAUAUUCACUGGUCUUCGCAUGGGGGUUGGUGGAAAGGGUUUUUCUGGUGGGGGAUGGGCUCGCGGCCUAUCAGCUUGUUGGUGGGGUGAUGGCCUACCAAGGCUUUGACGGGUAGCCGGCCUGAGAGGGUGACCGGUCACAUUGGGACUGAGAUACGGCCCAGACUCCUACGGGAGGCGGCAGUGGGGAAUAUUGCGCAAUGGGCGCAAGCCUGAUGCAGCGACGCCGCGUGAGGGAUGGAGGCCUUCGGGUUGUGAACCUCUUUCGCUCAUGGUCAAGCCGCAACAAUGGUUGUGGUGAGGGUAGUGGGUAAAGAAGCGCCGGCUAACUACGUG
rnacentral:rRNA from 1 species